rnacentral:misc_RNA from 1 species
UACAGAGGGUGCGAGCGUUAAUCGGAUUUACUGGGCGUAAAGCGUGCGUAGGCGGCUUUUUAAGUCGGAUGUGAAAUCCCCGAGCUUAACUUGGGAAUUGCAUUCGAUACUGGGAAGCUAGAGUGUGGUAGAGGGUAGUGGAAUUUCCUGUGUAGCGGUGAAAUGCGUAGAUAUAGGAAGGAACACCAGUGGCGAAGGCGGCUACCUGGACUGACACUGACACUGAGGUGCGAAAGCGUGGGUAGCAAACAGG